ACUCCUACGGGAGGCAGCAGUGGGGAAUCUUGGACAAUGGGCGCAAGCCUGAUCCAGCCAUGCCGCGUGAGUGACGAAGGCCUUAGGGUUGUAAAGCUCUUUUAGCAGGGAAGAUAAUGACGGUACCUGCAGAAUAAGCCCCGGCUAACUUCGUGCCAGCAGCCGCGGUAAUACGGAGGGGUUAGCGUUGUUCGGAAUUACUGGGCGUAAAGCGCAUGCAGGUGGUUUGUUAAGUCAGAUGUGAAAGCCCGGGGCUCAACCUCGGAAUAGCAUUUGAAACUGGCAGACUAGAGUACUGUAGAGGGGGUAGAAUUUCAGGUGUAGCGGUGAAAUGCGUAGAGAUCUGAAGGAAUACCGGUGGCGAAGGCGGCCCCCUGGACAGAUACUGACACUCAGAUGCGAAAGCGUGGGGAGCAAACAGGAUUAGAUACCCUGGUAGGCUCUGC
rnacentral:rRNA from 1 species